rnacentral:rRNA from 1 species
CGCGUAGGCGGGCCGGCAAGUCAGGGGUGAAAGCCCGCGGCUCAACCGCGGAAGUGCCUUUGAUACUGCCGGCCUCGAGGGAGGUAGGGGCGUGCGGAACUUCCGGUGGAGCGGUGAAAUGCGUAGAUAUCGGAAGGAACACCGGUGGCGAAAGCGGCGCGCUGGACCUCUUCUGACGCUGAGGCGCGAAAGCCAGGGGAAGCAAACG